UUCUCUCAACAGAUCACAGUCAUGGCGUGCAGAUUGAAGUCCAUGAGCAAGUGCAUUCUUAGCCUUGAUGUUGACAAAUUAAUUUAUGAAAAUAGAGAAGUGUGUGAGACUUACGUAGAUCAUCCAGGCUGCAUAACGCUCUUUGAGGUUAUACAAGACAGAUGGUUCGUUCAAGUGGGUCAUCAUCGCCAUGUCUUCAAUUUUAUCGUACUUGGGUGGGUUCAUGGGGAAAACUUCAUCUUCCUUCACUGUUACAGUCUGGAAUUAACAGGGAUGUAUGAUAAGACGUCAGUAAAUGCAUUAUCUUUUUAAGAGAUCUAUUCACUCCAAAUGUAAACUUACAGUAUUGUCUUCUUUCUUUACUGUUACUUUGCCUCCCUCUCUGCCUGUGAUAACUCCUUUCACAUACAUUGUUUUGGGGUCAAUCACAAAGGUUGAAGUUUUGGCAUCAAAGGGGCGAUUUUGGGCCUCAAUUCUUUCUUUCUCUGACUUUCGGAGGAAUUGAGCUG